UGCUCUUCCUCUCUGUGGGUUCUCUGAUGCUUGCUGUGGUAUUUUGUUAGUACCUGUGCUUUAGAUGCAAAUGUGAAUCAUAGGAUAUAUUUUUCUAAGAUGUAUGUAUAUUCUUGUAUUUCUUAUCUUGUCACAUUAUCAAAUUCCCUUAUUUAAAACUUUUUUCUCACAAAGGUAGCAUUUCUUCAAACAACUUGAAACAAAAUUUUUGCCAACUGCAAAAGCUGUGAAACAGGUUGAAAUGUCAAACAGUCCGGAUUUAUUUCUCCACUAAUUACCUCUCCAUCGAUUUCCAUUUAAGUAUCACAGCUCCUAUAUUGACUUUGCGUUGAGUGUGAUGAAAUAACACAGGUUGCUAGGUAUCCCUGGCUUGUGUUGAACUCAUGGAAAAUUCCUACUUUGGUCUCACAAGUUUUGGGAUUACAGACAUGAAUCACCACAUAGAAACUGUUUUUUUUUUGUUUUUUGUUUGUUUGUUUUUUUCUGAGACAGGGUCUCACUAUGUAAACCAGGUUGACCUUAAGCUGCUAGAGAUACAUCUGCCUCUGCCUCCCAUAUGCUGGGAUUUAAUUUUUAUCCUACCAUGAACGAUUGUUGACUAUUCUUAAGUGCUAUUAAAGAUAUAUAUGACUUGAACCCUUUACUCCUCAAGAUACUUUUAGUCAUGGUAUUUUACCAUAGCACAAGAAAGACUAACUAAUAGAGUUCUGUUGAUAUUUAGCUCAAAAGCAAUUGCUGAGGUCAAGAAACCUUAAGAAGAAUUUAACUAUGAGGAAGAAAUUGCUUUGAAAGGAUGUAAUUAUUAGUUACAAGGAGUUUGUCAAACUACAAACUUAUACAUAAAAUCUUUACAUUAUACUUGAAUUAGUAAAUGUUAAAGAAUUAUUUCUUUUAAAAUACUUAAUUAGUAAAUUAAAUGAAGUUUCAUUUGGUGGUUUAGAUCUCUAAAUUGUGGAACUCUGUACUAUUUGUAGAGUAAUAUUCUUUCCAACAUUAACAUAGCCCAAUCAAAGCACAUGUUUCAUAAUACCCUAAUAUUUUCCUUUCCUAAAAGCACAAGAUGUAUUAAUACUUGUAUUAUUGUCUAUCAGUAUAGUAUGUAUUGAAAAGACAUAAAAAUGAGACUAAAAUACCAUAGGUGGAAUCAGUUACUUGAUAUUUUUGCAAGUUAAUACAAUUUUAUAAGGAGAUCUUUUCCAUUUGCCUUUUUCCUAUCUUUUUCAUAUAUUUCGACAUUAUUAUAAAAGGAAAUGUUAAAAUAGUACAGAAAAGAAGAUGAAGGGCUUAUGGACAAUGAGGUGCAAAAGAGAGCAGUGAAAGGACUCAGAGGGUAAAAAUGACAAGCCAGAUGACCUAACAUCAAUUCUCUGGACACACAAGAUGGAGAAAGAUUUGACUUCCACAAGUUGUCUUCCCACCCCCAAGUCCAAGUUUGCACUGUGGCUUGUGCACUCAAACUCACAAAUAAAUAAGAAACUAAAUGAAGAAAUGUACUGAGCUCUGAUGAAGAUCCAGUGAGGAUGGUGUACCAAAAUCCCGAUGCCUCUAACUAGACCAAUGAUUCAUUGCAAAGGACAGUUGCCAGUCAAGCUAAUGGAAAAAGGGUGUACUAUAUGACACAUUAAAGUCUCCAAUGGGGUGUUGUUUUGUUCUGUUGUUUGUUGUUUUGGUUUAUUGCUUUUUUAUUAUUGUUUUUGCUUUUGUUCACUUGCUUUCUUACGUUGUUUUGUUUUCUUUCAUCGGGUGUGCAACAGGGAUGAGGGGAUAUG
ensembl:lncRNA